GCUCAGAUGCCUCAGUGAUAGAGCAUCUGUUUUGCGUGCAGAAGGUCCCAGGUUCAGGCCCUGGGAUUUCUAGGAA